GAUCCUGUAGCUCAGUCGGUAGAGCAACUGACUUUUAAUCAGUAGGUCGCGCGUUCAACCCGCGCCAGGAUCACUU
rnacentral:tRNA from 2 species